rnacentral:rRNA from 1 species
GACGAACGCUGGCGGCGUGCUUAACACAUGCAAGUCGAGCGGUAAGGCCCUUUCGGGGGUACACGAGCGGCGAACGGGUGAGUAACACGUGGGUGACCUGCCCUCGGCUCUGGGAUAAGCCUGGGAAACCGGGUCUAAUACCGGAUAUGACUCCAUGACGCAUGUUGUGGGGUGGAAAGCCUUGUGCGGCUGAGGAUGGGCCCGCGGCCUAUCAGCUUGUUGGUGGGGUGAGGCCUACCAAGGCGACGACGGGUAGCCGGCCUGAGAGGGCGACCGGCCACACUGGGACUGAGACACGGCCCAGACUCCUACGGGAGGCAGCAGUGGGGAAUCUUGCGCAAUGGGCGAAAGCCUGACGCAGCGACGCCGCGUGAGGGAUGACGGCCU